UGAGGAAUAUUGGUCAAUGGGCGGAAGCCUGAACCAGCCAUGCCGCGUGCGGGAAGAAGGCGCUACGCGUCGUAAACCGCUUUUGUCCGGGGGUAACCGCGGGGACGUGUCCCCGCCUGCAAGUACCGGACGAAUAAGGGUCGGCUAACUCCGUGCCAGCAGCCGCGGUAAUACGGAGGACCCGCGCGUUAUCCGGAUUCAUUGGGUUUAAAGGGUGCGUAGGCGGCCCGGUAAGUCAGCGGUGAGAGGCUCCUGCUCCACAGGAGAGCUGCCGGUGAUACUGGUGGGCUAGAAUAGUAGCGAGGCGGGCGGGAUGCGAGGUGUAGCGAUGAAAUGCAUAGAUAUCGCGCAGAACGCCGAUUGGGGAGCCAGCUCGCCAGCUGAGUAUUGACG
rnacentral:rRNA from 1 species